rnacentral:rRNA from 1 species
GAUGAACGCUGGCGGCGUGCCUAAUACAUGCAAGUCGAGCGAACAGACGAGGAGCUUGCUCCUCUGACGUUAGCGGCGGACGGGUGAGUAACACGUGGAUAACCUACCUAUAAGACUGGGAUAACUUCGGGAAACCGGAGCUAAUACCGGAUAAUAUAUUGAACCGCAUGGUUCAAUAGUGAAAGACGGUUUUGCUGUCACUUAUAGAUGGAUCCGCGCCGCAUUAGCUAGUUGGUAAGGUAACGGCUUACCAAGGCAACGAUGCGUAGCCGACCUGAGAGGGAUGUCCGCCCCAACGGGACUGAGACACGGUGCCAACCCCGCACGGAAGGCAGCAGUGGGAAAUCUGCCCCAAUGGGGGAAAGCCUGAAGGGGCAACCCCGGGGGAGUAAUGAAGGUUUGUGGUUCGUAAAACUCUUUUAUUAGGGAAAAAAAAAGGUGUAAGUAACUUUGCGCGUCUGAGCGGUCCCUAAGCAGAAAGCCAGGGCAAACUACGU